rnacentral:tRNA from 1 species
GCCUGGGUGGCGGAAUUGGUAGACGCAAGGGACUUAAAAUCCCUCGGGUACCUGUACCCGUACCGGUUCGAUUCCGGUCCCGGGCACCA